UACGGAGGGAGCUAGCGUUGUUCGGAAUUACUGGGCGUAAAGCGUACGUAGGCGGCUUUGUAAGUCAGAGGUGAAAGCCCACGACUCAAUCGUGGAACUGCCUUUGAGACUGCUUCGCUUGAAGAUGGGAGAGGUUAGUGGAAUUCCGAGUGUAGAGGUGAAAUUCGUAGAUAUUCGGAAGAACACCAGUGGCGAAGGCGGCUAACUGGACCAUUCUUGACGCUGAGGUACGAAAGCGUGGGGAGCAAAC
rnacentral:rRNA from 1 species